rnacentral:rRNA from 1 species
GAUGAACGCUGGCGGCGUGCUUAACACAUGCAAGUCGAACGGUGAACACGGAGCUUGCUCUGUGGGAUCAGUGGCGAACGGGUGAGUAACACGUGAGCAACCUGCCCCUGACUCUGGGAUAAGCGCUGGAAACGGCGUCUAAUACUGGAUAUGUGACGUGACCGCAUGGUCUGCGUUUGGAAAGAUUUUUCGGUUGGGGAUGGGCUCGCGGCCUAUCAGCUUGUUGGUGAGGUAAUGGCUCACCAAGGCGUCGACGGGUAGCCGGCCUGAGAGGGUGACCGGCCACACUGGGAUUGAGACACGGCCCAGACUCCUACGGGAGGCAGCAGUGGGGAAUAUUGCACAAUGGGCGAAAGCCUGACGCAGCAACGCCGCGUGAGGGAUGACGGCCUUCGGGUUGUAAACCUUUUUUAGCAGGGAAGAAGCGAAAGUGACGGUACCUGCAGAAAAAGCGCCGGCUAACUACGUG